GGCGCCCUGAGUAGCCACUUCCGCCCUCUUCUGGCUAAAUUGCUUCAUCCCUAUUUCCGGCUUGCCAUGGCAGCGCUCGGGGUUUAACGGAAGUAAGCAAUGGAAAGUAUGGUGGUGCCUCGGGUCCAAAGAGAAUGCGCCGCUGAGUUGCGCGGCACCUGACGGGAUUGAGCCUCAGACACAAGCGCUCCAAAUCUCCGACUGUAGCUGGUGGGAAGCGCCUGCUGUUGCUGCAGCGUCUCAACAUGUUGUUCCCAUUUUCGUUGGGUGCUGUAGCGGUAGGCUGUUGGGCUCAGGGAUAGGGGGCCUGAUUCCUAACGCCGCGCUGCCACCAUCGGCCUUGCGCAGACGCUGAUAAUCCCCCUGGCACCCAGGUUCAUGCGAGCGCUUGGAACAGGAGGGAAGAGGGAGUCAAACCAAGAGCCGAACUAAUUCGGCUUGGGCCUGCCAUUUACCCAGCCUGGGACCCAGACGUUUCCCCAUCCCUUAGCGUACGCCAGGACAGACAUGGCGUUUAAUCCUGACUCCAUGAGACUAUCAAGCUAGUUACUUCCUCUCUUUGUAAUUAAUUCCUCCUAAUGUAGCAACAUUUCCCCCUUCCUUCUCAUCUGUCUUAAAAGUGUGAGGUUAGACCUGGGCGUGAGUUUCCCCACAUAAGAGACUGGAUAUCCCCUGGUCAGAGAACUGAGCAUCAGUCCUGCCGUUUCGUUUGCAGAUCUUUCAAGACUCUAGUCAAAAUGAGCAGAACAUUUUGCAGUUAAUCAUAGAGUUGAAGAUGAACGAGAAGAUGAACGAGAGCUACUUGAUUGUGAACUAGUAACGACCACUUGGAGUCGCAGUGUGUCUGUAAAAUGAUGAUGACAGUGACAUCAUAGAGGACAUAGUGCAAGUGAACAGUUUGAUACUGAGCUUGGAGCCUCAGUAGUUCUGGAUAAGUGAGAGCUGUACGGGAGGUUGUAACCAUGAGCUACCCUGGUUGGCAGUUGACAUCCGAGGACCAGCACUGGUCAUCGCACAGAAAGAAAACUUUACACCUUGAGAUCCCUCCAUUCUUCUUAAACUUCCAAGUGUAUGUUUGAUGGGAGAAGAGGGGAAGGGAUCAACAUUUAAAGGCUCUGGAAGGAGUCAGAUAACUGUUUUUGGCUUCAAAUGUAGAAUGAAUCCCUAGAUUUUCCUCUACUGAGAGAAUGAAAUCUUAACCCAUUCCGUUCCCUUGUUGGUACUCAGAAACGGAUACCCCAAAGAUGCAUUUUGACAUGCUGAAAGGCCUUAGAAGCUGCCUUAGAAGAUCUGUCUAACCUUGUCUUGUUGGUGUGUGGAAGUGGGAAUGCCCACAGGUGCACAGGGAGGGAGUUUCUGAAAUUAUCUGACCGAGAAAGCAAAAAAAAAAAAUCAAUUGUCUUAAACCCGGUUUCUAGGGAUCUCAUUAAAGAACUAGGAAAAAUUAACCACCUGUUAACAGAAAAACCAAACUGAAAUGUUUUAAAGAGAUUUAUUUUGAGCCAAUAUGAGUGACCAUGGCCUGGGGAACACAGGCUCAAGAGGUCCUGAGAAAGUGUGCCUGAGACAGUAGAAUUACAGUUUGGUUUUGUACAUUUUAGGUGGACAGGAGUUACAGACAAAGACAUAAAUCAGUACAUGGAAGGUACAGAUUGUGUUCAGCUGGGUGCAGUGGCUCACGCCUGUAAUCCCAGCACUUUGGGAGGUCGAGGUGGGCGAAUCGCUUGAGGUCAGGAGUUCGAGACCAGCCUGGCUAACAUGGUGAAACCGUGUCUCUACAAAAAAUACAAAAAAUUAGCCAGGGAUGGUGGCAGGCACCUGUAGUCCUGGAGCUACUCAGGAGGUUGAGGCACGAGAAUUGCUGCGGAGGUUGUAGUGAGCCGAGACCACACCACUGCACUCCAGCCUGGGUGACAGAGCAUGACUCUGUCUCAAAAAAAAAAAAAAAAUUCUACGGUAUUUUUAUAAUACAUUUUGUAGUACCACUUAUAACCACUUGGGUGCGUGGGUUGCCCAUUAAAUCAAACAGUUUACAGUUCACCCUUGAACAACAUGGAUUUAAACUGUACUGGUCCACUUAUACUCAGAUUUUCUUCUGCCGCUGUCACUCUGAGACAGCAAGACCAACCCCCCUUCCUCUCCUCAGCCUACUCAAUGUGAAAAGGACAAGGAUGAAGGCCUUUAUGAUGAUCCACUUCCACUUAAUGAAUAGUAUAUUUUAUCUUCCUUACGAUUUCCUUAAUAACAGUUUCUUCUCUCUACUUUACUAUUGCAAGAAUACAGUAUAUAAUGCAUAUAACAUACAAAAUAUGUGUUCAUCUAUGUCAUCAGUAAGACUUCAGAUCGACAGUAGGCUAUUAAUAGUUAAGUUUUGGGGGAGUCAAAAGUUAUAUGUGGAUUUUCUACUGCAUUGUUUAAGGGUCAACUGUAGAUUCAACGACUACCUAGGAUUGUAGAGUUGACUGAUAGCACUGGGACUGAUGAUAACAUCAUAACCUGUAAGAAGUGUCAACAAUGGUGAUGGACCCCCAGCAACCCUGGAGUGGGGAUGUCUAAAGAUAGAUGUCAUCCACCAGGCAGGAGUUGGUGCUGCCAGUGUGUCAUGUACUGCAGCCUCUUU
rnacentral:lncRNA from 1 species